rnacentral:lncRNA from 1 species
UUUUUUUUUUUUUUUUUUUUUCUGUUAAGGGGGAAAAAAAAUCCUCUUCCCAGAGUAGUUUUUUAAUGAAAAGGAUCUAAAAAGGAAAAAAAGCAAUUCUGAAAAACAAAAUAUGCCUCCGUGUUAAGGACUUUAUAAUGAUAUGACUAGAAGCUUCUGAAUUUUAGUCAUAUUCUGAUUUAAAAAGUUAAAAAAAAAAAAAAACCUCCUAAACAAUCUCAAAGCCUCACAAUUAUAUAAAAUGUUAUUUCAGAGAAUAAAGAAGAAAAUCUAUGAUCUGAAUACAAAUGUUAAAAGGAAAUUAUAACUUCAAAUAAAAUUGGGAAAAAAAUGUUAGAUCUACUACUUUCAAAUGACUGAAUUGGUGGUAGGGCAAAUGGCAAAAUAGAGGUAAACAAACAUAUUUAGCAAUACAAAAUGCCCCUGCAAGGUAUUCUGGGUUUAGUGUGCUCCAUUCCACAUCACAUUGUAUAGCUUGUCACAUGCAGCCACUGCUGUUUGAAGUAGCACAGGAAAACCAUCAGGGUUUGAACCAGCCCUCCUGGUUUAAAUAACUGUAAAAACACUUUAAUAUGUAUUUUUAAUCUUUGAAUUAAGAGUUCAGGCAUUAAAAUCUCCAAAUAUGUCAUAAAUAUUUGGGAUGAAAACAUCAUACUAAUUUUAUCAAUCCUUUCUUACUUCAUAUAACACCAUCUAUAAAUAAGACAAUAGUUUAAAAAAAAAAGCAGACUGGAUUAAGUCAUCCCUAUUUUUGGCUUCAAACAACUGACACAAUAGGAUUUACAAAAAUAUAUAUCUUUUUACUGUAAAACAGAUAUAAUACAAUUAUCUUUCUUCUUACAGCAUGGCAAUAUUUGUAGCAUUGAAUGUGGUAUGUUUAUGUCCACCCUCAUAGUAAUGCAAGGUAGUAACUUAAUAUCUCCACAUAUGAGAGCAUGAUCAUAAAUCAGCCCUGAAAUCACAUAUAUUUUUAGAAAAUACAUCUAGGUCUUAUUUGUGAAUUCUAUUUUCUCUUGCUCUUGAAGUAUACAGAAGAAUAUUUUAGGUAUUGUGUCUAUUUGAUGGAUAUAGAUUUCAAGUUAAACUGGUUCAGAUUCACUAGAUCUAUCCAUGAAUGGAUCCCAAAAAAAUCACUGACACUGACUAACUAAACUUUUCUCCUGCUUCUCACAGGCCUGAAUUAGACUAAAAAUGCACCAGUAUAAAGACAGAAAUUAUGGAGGCGUCACCAGGGACAACUGAAUGAGAGGAGGGGAGUGCACAUAUUUCCUUAUAAGGCAACAAAACAUUCAUAAAAGAAACUGACAAAAAUAACUCAUGCUCAGAAAUAAUAUGGAAUUAACAAUAAUCCCCAAUAAAUGAUUCAGAAAUAUAAAAACUGCCCACCUCUAUCUAAAUCUGAAUCACCAAUUAGUAUUGUUCUACUCACCGAUCACAUAUGGUUAGUGAAACUGAUUCACUUCUAGUUCAGACAAGAGAAGGUGAUGGAAACUAGGCUGCAUAUUUAUAUAUAAACUACUUAACUGACAACUAGCAGUUCAAUUUAAUCAGUCAGAUUUCCUUUUCCUUAAUUCACCAGAUGUUGAGUGAAUUGAAUUCUUAGUUCAAAAUAAUAAAGCAGUUUCUAUGAAUAGAAAGUCUACUCAGUUACAUUCUCCUCUUUUCAUGUCACUCCUCUUUCUCUUCUUUGACCCUUCUCUUCACUUCUCUGUCUCUGCCUAUUUCUUCCUUACUUUCACUUUCUUCCUUAUUUAUUUUUUCCCUCUCUCUCUCUUUUUUUUCCCUUUGGUGAGGGUAAUGAAGCUCAAAAAUAACAUCUUGUAUCCUGUUGAGGGAAACUUGGUCACAACUUUCCUUCCAGAUGACAAACUCAUUCUUAAAUGUCUGUUUCCCAAUCCAAAGAAAACAGAGCAAUUGAGAAAAUAGAGACGCAACAUCACUUACCAGUACCAAAACCACCACUUUUAAUUCCCGUGUCACAUUCAUCACAAGGAGGACUGAAGUUUAUUUACGUUAUCCCCUAACCUCAAAUAGGACCACAACUAAGACUAAUAACAGGACCAUUUUGUGGCGCUCAGGCAAACGGCUGGGCAAAACAGAUGGAUCUUACUUUGCGCCAGGACUCAAAAAAUACAGUAGCCAACUCACUGUUGGCGACUACAUAUUUUGGCCCAAAGAUGGACCUGGAAGUGGGACCAGUUGUCUUUGAUAUGAAUACUGUUCCUAUUCAUAUCUGCCACAUAAGAAAAUCAUUAACUCUGUUACUAUGUUGUGGGGUUAAGUAUUGGGUAGAAACUGGAAGAUUGGUCAUCGAAAAAGUGAAAUAUUCUGAAGGCAUGUCAGAUUAGAUUAGGGAGCAGAGAAGUUAGAACUAGGACCUUACCUAUGGCACUAUUGUCUACUUUUCAACUUCCUGUUUUUUCCAAGUUCAGUACUGUACACUGAACCCACCUUUAAAAUAGUGGGUUUCCAGAGUAUGUGUCAUCAAUAAGAAUAACUUGCGCCUGACAUUUCAGGUUCCAAAAUCUGUUAAAAUUUCUUCAGGUUAUCCAGAUCAUUAUUCAGGUAAUCUCAGUCAUUAUUAAAACUGACCACCAAUGUCAGACUUCUUUAAUCAAGACAAAACUAUGCAAGGCUUCACAGAAUAUAGUCAACACCCAGUGAGGCACUGGGAAACAGCUCAGUAAUCAAUGCAAAUUACAAAGCCCGGAAGAAUGCUUCUCUUGGCAGAGACCCUUUAGCAAAAGAGUUGUACAUUCUGCAUUAGUUAAAGAUUCUGAAUGGCUUUCCAGAGAAGUAGCAAAUGCAUUAUAUUACAGGAACCUAUCCUGUAAGUCACAAGGCCAAAAAAACAAAGCCCCAGACAAUAGAAAAAUGAAGGGAGGUGAGGAACUACAGAUCUUAACAUUGACUAUGAACGAAGGAUGGCUUCUAACUACACUCUACUUUUUAAAAUACUUGCAUACAUAGGAGUUUUAGAUAUCAUCAGGUUACAGAACUUCAAGGAAAGAACAACAAAUUAUUCCAGUUAGGAAGUCUAUGCUAAUUCCGGCAGUCCUCUUAAUGCUCUCCCAACUAUUCAGCAUCAACUGUAUCUUGCUCAGAUUGUUUGAGAAGUCACUCACCUUUCUAUGACUUAUUCAUUCUGACAUUGUUCAGAUUUGAUUUUUAAGAGACAAGCCCUAUCUGUGGUCAGCUUAGAGAACAAAUUAUAGUAUUUUAAUUAUUUCUUAGUCAUUUUUUCCUUUUUACUUGAAAAAUAUCAUGAAAAAUUUCAAACAUAUAUGCAAUAGUAGAGAGCAGAAGUAAAAUGACUCCCAUGUAGUCAAUGUUUUCUUCAUUUAUACUCUCACCUACUUUUUCUUCCACCAGAUCAUUUUAAAGACAAUCCCAGAUACUAUAUUAUUCCAUCCAUGAAAACAUUAGUAUGUAUUACUUAAAAUAAUGAUUUUUUUAAAAAAUCACAAUAAAUAUCAUUAUCAUUAUCCAACAUCAAAAAUAAGAGGAGUUCCCAUGAUAGCUCAGUGGAAACGAAUCUGACUAGUAUCCAUGAGAACACAGGUUCGAUCCCUGGCCUUGCUCAGUGGAGUUAAACCAGUUUUUCAUCAUUAAGUAUGAUAUUAGCUGUAGGUUUUUUCCAUAGAUGCCCUUUAUUUGGGUACAGAAGUGCUCUUCUAUUCCUAGUUUGUUAAGAGUUUCGGUC